GCCUACGGGAGGCAGCAGUAGGGAAUUUUCGUCAAUGGGCGCAAGCCUGAACGAGCAAUGCCGCGUGAACGGGGAAGGUCUUCGGAUCGUAAAGUUCUUUUGAAGGGGAAAAAGAGCGGAGAGAGGAAAUGGUCUCCGAUUGAUAUUACCCUUCGAGGAAGUCACGGCUAACUACGUGCCAGCAGCCGCGGUAAUACGUAGGUGGCGAGCGUUAUCCGGAAUGAUUGGGCGUAAAGGGUGCGUAGGCGGCCUGCGAAGUCUGGAGUGAAAGGUACCGGCUCAACCGGUACAGGCUCUGGAAACUG
rnacentral:rRNA from 1 species